rnacentral:ncRNA from 1 species
CCCGCUGAACUUAAGCAUAUCAAUAAGCGGAGGAAAAGAAACCAACCGGGAUUGCCUCAGUAACGGCGAGUGAAGCGGCAAGAGCUCAAAUUUGAAAGCUGGCUCCUUCGGAGUCCGCAUUGUAAUUUGCAGAGGAUGCUUUGGGUGCGGCCCCCGUCUAAGUGCCCUGGAACGGGCCGUCAGAGAGGGUGAGAAUCCCGUCUUGGGCGGGGUGUCCGUGCCCGUGUAAAGCUCCUUCGACGAGUCGAGUUGUUUGGGAAUGCAGCUCUAAAUGGGUGGUAAAUUUCAUCUAAAGCUAAAUACUGGCCGGAGACCGAUAGCGCACAAGUAGAGUGAUCGAAAGAUGAAAAGCACUUUGAAAAGAGAGUUAAACAGCACGUGAAAUUGUUGAAAGGGAAGCGCUUGCGACCAGACUCGCCCGCGGGGUUCAGCCGGCAUUCGUGCCGGUGUACUUCCCCGUGGGCGGGCCAGCGUCGGUUUGGGCGGCCGGUCAAAGGCCCCUGGAAUGUAGUACCCUCCGGGGUACCUUAUAGCCAGGGGUGCAAUGCGGCCAGCCUGGACCGAGGAACGCGCUUCGGCACGGACGCUGGCAUAAUGGUCGUAAACGACCCGUCUUGAAACACGG